rnacentral:rRNA from 1 species
GACGAACGCUGGCGGCGUGCCUAACACAUGCAAGUCGAACGAGACCUUCGGGUCUAGUGGCGCACGGGUGCGUAGCGCGUGGGAACCUGCCCUUGGGUUCGGAAUAACUCCCCGACAGGGGUGCUAAUACCGGAUCAUGUCUUCGGACCAAAGAUUUAUCGCCUUUGGAUGGGCGCGCGUUGGAUUAGCUAGUUGGUAGGGUAAAAGCAUACCAAGGCGACGAUCCAUAGCUUGUCUGUGAGGAUGGGCACCCACACUGAGACUGAGAACCGGCCCAGACUCCUACGGGAUGCAGGAGUGGGGAAUAUAGGACAAUGGGCGGAGGCAUGAAGCAGCAAUGACGCGUGAGUGAUGAAGGUCUUAGGGUUGUAAAGCGCAUUUACCCGGGAUGAUAAUGACAGUACCGGGAGAAUAAGCUACGGCUAACUACGUG